rnacentral:rRNA from 1 species
CGGAUCGGAGUCUGCAACCCGACUCCGUGAAGCUGGAUUCGCUAGUAAUCGCGCAUCAGCCAUGGCGCGGUGAAUACGUUCCCGGGCCUUGUACACACCGCCCGUCAAGCCAUGGAAGCCGGGAGUGCCUGAAGUAUGCAACCGCAAGGAGCGUCCUAAGGUAAAACCGGUGACUGGGGCUAAGUCGUAACAAGGUACC